CCUACGGGUGGCAGCAGUGGGGAAUAUUGCACAAUGGGGGAAACUCUGAUGCAGCAACGCCGCGUGCAGGAAGACGGAUUUCGGUGUUUACAGCUCUAUCAGCAGGGAAGUAAACGACGAUACCUGAUUCAGGAUGACCGGCUAACUCCGUGCCAGCAGCCGCAGUAAUACGGAGGAUGCGGGCGUUAUCCGGAGGUAGUGGUUUUAAAGCGUGCGUAGGCGGUCCAUUAAGUCAGCGGUAAAAUUGCGGGGCUCAACCCCGUCGAGCCGUUGAAACUGACAAUCUUGAGUAGGCGAGAAGUACGCGGAAUGCGUGGUGUAGCGGUGAAAUGCAUAGAUAUCGCGCAGAACUCCGAUUGCGAAGGCAGCAUACCGGCGCCAGACUGACGCUGAGGCACGAAAGCGUGGGGAUCGAACAGGAUUAGAUACCCCUGUAGUC
rnacentral:rRNA from 1 species